GUAAACGAGUGCCUCCUGCAGUUGCAGUCUAGUGCGUGGGGUAUACGCACGCACCCGAACAAAGUUGUAUACUAGCGAAUCCUGCCGAGCGGAAACGCGAAAGAAAUUUUCAUCCUGUUGACUCAUACGUUUAUUUCUGCAGUUGCAACACGCACUUUGGGGUAUACGCACGUUUACCAGGCAAGAUUUUUCCACGUGCUAACAUUAAGUUUGUGGUGUCGUUUUACGCGUAGAUAUUGUUGGAUUUUUUAGUGGCGUUUUUUAAUUUUUGGGGGCAGUUUUUUUUUUAUUUUGGACUAUGUUAAAAAGUUAUCGAGGUGUAGGGGAUGAUUGAGUUUUGGUUUUUGGACAAAGGGGUGAGCCAAAGGGGGCGUGAAAAUGAUAGAGGCAGUUUGUAGUAAUACAAGGUCCAAUCGUCCGUUUGGCUUACCGCAACUGAAAAAACGAAAAAUCGAAACACCCAGCAUGGCAACGGUGGCAAAAAGCUUCUCGAAAACCUUAGAGACUCUAGAAGAUAAGCGCCGAAAAAAGACAGAAGAAUCAAAACCAUUGCUUCUUCCACAGAAGAAGCGCGUUUUACCUCCUACUAAUUCACCUAGUAGAUUAAAGAAAAGUCCAAAAUUAGACGAAAACGCUGCAGAAGAAACAAUAAUUAGAGAGACAGAGGCUGCUUUAAAAAAUUUAUCAGGUAGUUGGCCUGGACCAAGGGGAGGAUACCCGCAUCAAGUGGAUACGCCAACAUUCGAAAAUCUAUUUGAUGAAAAAAAGGCGUCUGUUAAAAUGUCACCAACUUCCAGUUCAAACAGCAGUAGCGACAAUGCUUCGUCUGUUAAAGAUGUUAUCACACUAAGAGAACAACACGAACAUGAAGAAACUUUCGAUGAAAAGUCAGGUAGUACGAACGGCAAAAGUAGCCCGAGAUCGACUGAUAGUAAACCAAAAAGUAGUAAAAUUCAAUAUUCGUCACCAGACUUUAACGAAUUGGUCGAUGAUUCUUCUAAUGAAUUAGAGAUUGAUAUGUCAGAAGCUGCUGCAGAGAAAAACGAAUCUAGCGGAAAACAAGAACAAGAAAAACGAAAAGAUCCUAAAUAUCCCUCCAGUAAUUCUUCGUUUCAUGCUUUUUCUCGCUCAUCUCCAUUUUCCACUACCUCUGCAUUUAGGCCUCCACAAUCUAAAAACCCUCCACUUGGUCCAUUUCCUGCAGAAGCUACUUUUGUUGGUUAUCCAGAAGGAGCACCAGUGGAGGAAAAGAAAAUAAUAGUUCCAUUGAAACCGUCAGAUAGCCAAACAGAAAUACAAAAGAGUCCCGAAGGUGUCAACAAACAGUAUACUAUUUUACAACCAGCAGGAGUUGGAUCUAGAGCAGCUACUACAAUGCAAGAAGUAGCUAGAGAAGGAGUUCCAAGUGUAUCAGCGGUUAGUGGGAACCCAGGAACUGAAAAUACGGGGAAAAUAACAACCACCACUAUUGCACCAGGAACACUAUCACCAAAUAGUAUUGGUAGGGAGGGAAGCAAAUGCCCCACCCCGGGUUGUACGGGUCAAGGACACGUCACGGGACUUUAUUCACACCACAGAAGUCUUUCUGGAUGUCCGAGAAAGGACAAAGUUACACCAGAAAUCCUGGCAAUGCACGAGACCAUCCUUAAGUGCCCGACACCUGGAUGCAACGGUAGAGGACACGUUAGUUCGAAUAGAAAUACACAUAGAAGCUUAUCGGGUUGUCCCACAGCCGCAGCUAAUAAGCAAGCUGCAAGGGAUCAAAAGUAUCAAUCGAAUAUGCAGAGAGUUAAAACUCCUUCGGGCUCACCUCAGUUUAGCGGUGGUUGUCAAACUGAGUUUUCUCCCAGCUACGAAGGAAAAAGGACUCCGACGUCAGAGGACGUUAAACCCAACUACUUAGUAAACUACGGAAAUCCACCCCCGCCUACAUCUUCUUCUUCAUCGGAAGAGAUUAAACCAAACUACGACCAAUACUACAGCAAACCCACACCAGUCAAACCCGAUCCUAUGAAAAUUCCCAAAACUGAAGUUACGACCACCAGUUGUUGUAGUGUCAGUGCUCAAGGGGAAUUAUUAGUACCAAAAACAGAAAUGCCCAGUUCUUGUAGGUCGCCCCCUUCAGGAAUAAGGUCAGCAUACGAACCGUAUAUGAAUCAAGACUCAAAUUCAUCGUCUAUGUCCAGUAUGGACGCCAUGAACUCAAGGAAUCAACACCAAAUACACCAUAAUACAUCUCAUAUGGGACCUCAUCAUAAUCCACAACAACCUGGGUACAGUAUGGAACACCAAAUGCCUCAUAGGUCUCCGUACCACCAGUCGCCUAUGUCAGAGGAGAUGUAUACCAGGGAGCGAUCGUACGCAGAGAUGAACGAACCCAUAGGUCCAAACAGUAUUGCAAGACCAGUAGUCACAUAUUCUAAUGAAAUAGCAAGGCCUUACGAAUCAGGUUUAAUAAAUUCUGCAGGACACCGACCGUAUGAUCCUGGUACCAACAGUUUUGAAAGAUACGAUUCCAGCCAAUGUGUGUCUCUUCAACAGCCCUUGGGUCCUGCAAGGGUGCCACCGCAGGGUAUGUACGGAUAUAUCGAUGAUCAACAGGAACAGAGGUACCAACAGGAGGCUGCAGCAGCGCAACAGCAUCAAAUUGCAGUUGCUAAUGCCCAAAGUAUGAUGAAGACAGAAGAACCUGAAUCAACUGGACCGUUAUAUCCAAGACCAAUGUAUCAGUAUGAUGCCUCCAGCGGAGCUCCCCUUCCAGUUGGCUUUUCAGCAAUUAACUUAUCUGUGAAAUGUGUGACAACGGCUCACGCUGCUCAAAUGAAGGGUCCGCACACGUCCCCAGGGGGCACCGUUAUCGAUUUGUCGACGUCCAGUGUCACCACUACUAGUCCACAGGUAGCGUACAGCUCGCCGCAUUAUGGAGGAGCAGGCCAAAGGGUCGGAGGCAGCCCCCAAGCGGCGGCGAGUCCGCACCUUUCGGCAAGUCCGCAAGUCCCGAGUCCUCAGGGACAAACGCUGGACCUCAGCAUUAGUAGGUUGUCUCACAGUGGGGUACGACCUGUAGCGUCAUUUGCAUCAACGCCUGGAGGAGGACCAGUACUAGCUCCUGGUGCAGGAUAUAGCAGAGAAUCAACUCCUGACAGUGGCGGAAGUCAUUAUAUGGAUGCUUACCGGGAUCCUGCAGGUUAUGGUCCUAUGAGUCCCCAUCCUGGAUAUGGUAUGACGACAGUAGCCAGUGAUUAUGCCUCAAACCCCUACUCACCUUACCCACCAAGUGGAUACUCAUGUGCCGGUGGAUAUCCUGGACCCGUUACAACAGGUUACCCAGUUCCCCCAGGCGGUUAUUCACCAAGUACUUGUUAUUCCAUGCCACCGCCCCAACACUCAUUAUCGCAACAUGAUAAGUCGCCCAACAAGGACAGUCUGUCAGGAUGUCCACGAGCGGAUCGUUCACAAAUUCAACCCCAUUCUCAAGAACUGAAAUGCCCAACGCCGGGAUGCGACGGUUCAGGUCACGUCACAGGCAAUUACAGUUCACACAGAAGUUUAUCUGGAUGUCCUAGAGCUAACAAACCAAAGAGUAAGCCCAGAGAUGGCCAGGACUCCGAACCCCUGAGAUGCCCGAUACCGGGCUGUGAUGGAUCUGGCCAUGCAACUGGAAAAUUUUUAUCACAUAGAAGCGCGUCUGGAUGCCCUAUAGCAAACAGAAACAAAAUGAGAGUUUUGGAGAGCGGUGGAUCCGUUGAGCAACACAAAGCUGCCGUGGCUGCUGCAACGGCAAUGAAGUUCGAAGGGGUUAACUGCCCAACGCCGGGGUGUGACGGAACUGGACAUAUAAACGGUUCUUUUUUAACGCAUCGGUCCCUCAGUGGAUGUCCUGUAGCGGGUCAGACAGUGAAGAAGUCCAAAUAUCCGGAGGAUAUGCCUUUUUAUACUAAGGGAUAUACAGACGUCUUCUUGCAGGUAUAGAACAGGGACCUAAUGGCGGAGAAGACCUUAUGACCUUGGAGGCGGAGAUAUCCGAAUUACAAAGAGAAAAUGCAAGAGUUGAGUCUCAGAUGAUCAAACUGAAAUCGGAUAUAAACGCAAUGGAAAAUCACUUGGGCCAAAACGAAAAAGAAACCCAGGCGCUAUCGCAACGUUCCAACAACCUGAACGAGUACUACGAGAGUCUACGUAACAAUGUCAUUACACUUCUGGAGCAUGUUCGACUGCCCGGUG
rnacentral:misc_RNA from 1 species